UGGGGAAUAUUGCACAAUGGGCGAAAGCCUGAUGCAGCAACGCCGCGUGAGUGAUGAAGGCCUUCGGGUUGUAAAGCUCUGUCUUUUGGGACGAUAAUGACGGUACCAAAGGAGGAAGCCACGGCUAACUACGUGCCAGCAGCCGCGGUAAUACGUAGGUGGCAAGCGUUGUCCGGAUUUACUGGGCGUAAAGGAUGCGUAGGCGGAUUUUUAAGUGAGAUGUGAAAACCCUAAGCUUAACUUGGGGACUGCAUUUCAUACUGGAAAUCUAGAGUGCGGGAGAGGAGAAUGGAAUUCCUAGUGUAGCGGUGAAAUGCGUAGAGAUUAGGAAGAACACCAGUGGCGAAGGCGAUUCUCUGGACCGUAACUGACGCUGAGGCAUGAAAGCGUGGGUAGCAAACAGGAUUAGAUACCCUGGUAGUCCACGCCGUAAACGAUGAGUACUAGGUGUAGGAGGUAUCGACCCCUUCUGUGCCGCAGUUAACACAAUAAGUACUCCGCCUGGGAAGUACGAUCGCAAGAUUAAAACUCAAAGGAAUUGACGGGGGUCAUAGCUG
rnacentral:rRNA from 1 species